rnacentral:rRNA from 1 species
CAAUAGCGUAUAUUAAAGUUGUUGCAGUUAAAAAGCUCGUAGUUGGAUUUGUGGUGUGUCUUGCUGGUCCUUUGGCUUUGCCAUUGUGUCUUGACGAGUCUGCCAUGUUUGGGUGGAAUCUGUGUGGCAUUAGGUUGUCGUGCAGGGGAUGCCCAUCGUUUACUGUGAAAAAAUUAGAGUGUUCAAAGCAGGCUUAUGCCGUUGAAUAUAUUAGCAUGGAAUAAUGAUAUAGGACCUUGGUACUAUUUUGUUGGUUUGCGCACUGAGGUAAUGAUUAAUAGGGACAGUUGGGGGUAUUCGUAUUCCAUUGUCAGAGGUGAAAUUCUUGGAUUUUUGGAAGACGAACUACUGCGAAAGCAUUUACCAAGGAUGUUUNCAUUAA